GUGGUUGCCAGCUGUGUCUGUCCUACUCAGAAGUGUAGGAUCUGAUCUGCAGUGGGUCUCUGGACUUGGGGUCAGCUCUCUGAAGGUCACAGGACAGCUGUAGAAGUAGAAGGAAAGGACAGUCUGCUUAAAAUUUCAACCCAUGGCCCCACUGCUUCCAGAGCUACUGCUAUGAACAGCUGAUGUCUAUCUGGCUCAGCUGGACCUGGCAUUGCUAGAAAUUAGCAGAUCAGAGCCUGUGUGGCCAGAUCCUGUCUUUCUGCAACCAGCCCACUCAGA